GCUAGCAUGCUGACGCAAUAGAUUCUGUACCGAAAGCAACUGUUACACUCUAGGUAGUUCGCUAAUUCUGAUUAUGUCGAUAUAGUAUGACCAGCCUUUUGUUAGGAUCAGGACACGAGCACAAGAAGAACACAUCCAUUACUGUUUUGAUUAAUUGCUAUUAUAAGAUCAAUUAAUAAUUGACGACAGCUAAUCCUGUGAUUACUACAGAUAUCCUGAUUUAAUAUAGGAGGAUUGUGCACUGUACUCCUAGUUUCCAUGAAACUUUGCUGCCGUUCUAUGUGUGCCGUUUUAUUGCUUUUAAGUCAAACUUGAUAACCUUUUGAAUAUGUUCGUUUGAAACUAUAAUUAUUCAUAGUUAAUCACUUAGUAUUGGACUGUUGAUUGAAAACACAUGGAUUACACAUUUUGU